GAUGAACGCUGGCGGCGUGCCUAAUACAUGCAAGUCGAGCGAACGGACGAGAAGCUUGCUUCUCUGAUGUUAGCGGCGGACGGGUGAGUAACACGUGGAUAACCUACCUAUAAGACUGGGAUAACUUCGGGAAACCGGAGCUAAUACCGGAUAAUAUUUUGAACCGCAUGGUUCAAAAGUGAAAGACGGUCUUGCUGUCACUUAUAGAUGGAUCCGCGCUGCAUUAGCUAGUUGGUAAGGUAACGGCUUACCAAGGCAACGAUGCAUAGCCGACCUGAGAGGGUGAUCGGCCACACUGGAACUGAGACACGGUCCAGACUCCUACGGGAGGCAGCAGUAGGGAAUCGUCCGCAAUGGGCGAAAGCCUGACGGAGCAACGCCGCGUGAGUGAUGAAGGUCUUCGGAUCGUAAAACUCUGUUAUUAGGGAAGAACAUAUGUGUAAGUAACUGUGCACAUCGUGACGGUACCUAAUCAGAAAGCCACGGCUAACUACG
rnacentral:rRNA from 1 species